ACAACAGUUGUCAAUUUACCUUGGGUGCUUUUGUCUAUCAGUCGGGGCAUAGGUUUUUUUCUUAUGUUUGGAAUAUUAGGCGAAUAGGCAAAGUUUGAGAUUUGCAAUUGAGACCUGCUGUGAGAAGACGACUAUAAAAUAGCAUGCUACUCAAGCAGAUUGUGAGCUUCAACUCAAACCAUGAGUUCUAGACCCUAUUUGAGUUUGGUUACUCUACUCUACCUCUUGACUAGAACCAGAAUAGGACAAGGCUGCACUUCUUUUCCUCCUCUUUCCGUUAAGAUUGCUUAUUCUAAGAUGAUGGAUAUGGGAUGGAUGCUUGCCAGCAUUUCCAGUUCAGCUCUAACAGUCCUGGAUGCUGUUCUUAUAAACAGGAUUGGCUCUACGAGAGAAUAUCUUAAGGAAAAAUGGAAGUGAUAUUCGUCAAUGAGAGGGGUGCUACUUUUUUACAGUGGGCUAUUAUGCAAGGAGUUGCAAUGAUCUUGCAGAACAGAUACCAACGGCAAAGACUCUAUACUCGCAUUGCUUUGGGAAAGGCUAAAAGAAUAGAUGUUGUCUGGGGAGAAACAGCUGGUGUGGAUGGACAGUUAUGGCCUUUGUACCCAAUACUUUUUGCUACGAAGGUAGUAUUUUGCCGGAUCCUUUGGUUCUCAUGGCGAUUUGCAAUUUCACAAACACCAUCCACACUUUGAUGGCAAAGUCACAGUUCAAAGCAACAAUGAAAAGAAGUACAAGCCCGUGUUAGAUCAGUGCAUCCUGAUAGCAAAGGAGAAUGUCCUAGGUUCUCGUAUCUGUGUUAGUUAUGACAGAAGGGGUGGAUUACUAUCCUUUAGUUUGGGUCCAAAAAGUAUUCAACUCUCCGCUGAUCUGUCGUCUUCCUUUGUCAGAAGUAACGUCUCCGUCCUCCUCCUUGGUGUGAGCCAUUCUGUCGGCCAUAUUUUCCUGAUUGUCCUUAUUGAGCGGGAUGGGCGCCAUCCCUUGUGAAUCGUUGACAAGCUUCUCGACAUCCUUCAUUGAUAGACUUCUGUGGACGUGGUUUGUAAUAAUAUGGCAAUGCAGAAAAAAGUUGAUAGAGCUGCCUCCACUGGAAAAGAUUUCGAGUAUUUGGAGGAAGAAAAGAGUUUCUUUUCUGGUGGAGUUUAUCAUAGUAUGGAUCCUGGAUUAUUUUCCACUCAACGUAUCAUAUAAAGAAAGUUUUC